UACGGGGGGAGCAAGCGUUGUUCGGAUUUACUGGGCGUAAAGGGCGCGUAGGCGGUCAGUGCAAGUCAGUUGUGAAAUCUCCGGGCUUAACCCGGAAAGGUCAACUGAUACUGCUCGACUAGAGUGCGGAAGGGGCAACUGGAAUUCUCGGUGUAGCGGUGAAAUGCGUAGAUAUCGAGAGGAACACCUGCGGCGAAGGCGGGUUGCUGGGCCGACACUGACGCUGAAGCGCGAAAGCCAGGGGAGCGAACGGG
rnacentral:rRNA from 1 species